rnacentral:rRNA from 1 species
AGAGCGAACGCUGGCGGCAGGCCUAAUACAUGCAAGUCGAACGGAUCCUUCGGGAUUAGUGGCGGACGGGUGAGUAACACGUGGGAACGUGCCCUUUGGUUCGGAACAACUCAGGGAAACUUGAGCUAAUACCGAAUGUGCCCUUCGGGGGAAAGAUUUAUCGCCAUUGGAGCGGCCCGCGUCUGAUUAGCUAGUUGGUGGGGUAAAGGCCCACCAAGGCGACGAUCAGUAGCUGGUCUGAGAGGAUGAUCAGCCACACUGGGACUGAGACACGGCCCAGACUCCUACGGGAGCAGCAGUAGGGAAUCUGCGCAAUGGGCGAAAGCCUGACGCAGCCAUGCCGCGUGAAUGAUGAAGGUCUUAGGAUUGUAAAAUUCUUUCAGCGGGACGAUAAUGACGGUACCGCAGAAGAACGCCCGGCUAACUUCGUGCCAGCAGCCGC